AUUGAACGCUGGCGGCAGGCCUAAUACAUGCAAGUCGAGCGAGCGGCGGACGGGUGAGUAAUGUAUGGGGACUGCCCGAUAGAGGGGGAUAACUAAUGGAAACGGUGGCUAAUACCGCAUAAUGUCGGAUAACCCAUAUGGGAUUAGACAUUAGGUAAGGUAAUGGCUUACAUAGGCGACGAUCCCUAGCUGGACUGGGAUGAUGAUCAGCCACACUGGGACUGAGACACGGCCCAGACUCCUACGGAGUCAGCAGUGGGGAAUAUUGCACAAUGGGCGCAAGCCUGAUGCAGCCAUGCCGCGUGUAUGAAGAAGGCCCUAGGGUUGUAAAGUACUUUCAGUCGGGAGGCGUUACCGACAGAAGAAGCACCGGCUAACUCCGUGCCAGCAGCCGCGGUAAUUC
rnacentral:rRNA from 1 species